GGAGAGGUGGCAGAGCGGCUGAAUGCGCAACAUUGCUAAUGUUGUGACUCCGUUAGGGGUCCGCGGGUUCGAAUCCCGCCCUCUCCG
rnacentral:tRNA from 1 species